UAGCGGAGGAAAAGAAACCAACAGGGAUUGCCUCAGUAACGGCGAGUGAAGCGGCAACAGCUCAAAUUUGAAAGCUGGCUCCUUCGGGGCCCGCGUUGUAAUUUGUAGAGGAUGCUUCGGGCGCGGCGCCGGUCUAAGUUCUCUGGAACGAGACGUCAUAGAGGGUGAGAAUCCCGUAUGUGACUGGCCGCCUGUGCCCAUGUGAAGCUCCUUCGACGAGUCGAGUUGUUUGGGAAUGCAGCUCAAAAUGGGAGGUGUACUCCUUCUAAAGCUAAAUAUUGGCCAGAGACCGAUAGCGCACAAGUAGAGUGAUCGAAAGAUGAAAAGCACUUUGGAAAGAGAGUUAAACAGUACGUGAAAUUGUUGAAAGGGAAGCGCUUGCAAUCAGACUUGCGCGGCGUCGAUCAGCCUGGGUUCUCCCUGGUGCACUCGGCGCCGCUCAGGCCAGCAUCAGUUUCGGCGGUGGGAUAAAGGCCUAGGGAACGUGGGUCCCCUCGGGGACCGUUAUAGCCCUAGGUGCAAUGCCGCCUGCCGGGACUGAGGACCGCGCUUCGGCUAGGAUGCUGGCGUAAUGGUUGUAAGCGACCCGUCUGAA
rnacentral:rRNA from 1 species